UGGGGAAUAUUGGGCAAUGGGGGAAACCCUGACGCAGCAACGCCGCGUGAAGGAAGACGGUUUUCGGAUUGUAAACUUCUUUUAUUGAGGACGAAACAAAUGACGGUACUCAAUGAAUAAGCUCCGGCUAACUACGUGCCAGCAGCCGCGGUAAUACGUAGGGAGCAAGCGUUGUCCGGAAUUACUGGGUGUAAAGGGCGAGUAGGCGGGACAAAAAGUCAGAUGUGAAAACUAUGGGCUCAACCCAUAGCCUGCAUUUGAAACUUUUGUUCUUGAGGGAUGGAGAGGUAAGCGGAAUUCCUAGUGUAGCGGUGAAAUGCGUAGAUAUUAGGAGGAACACCAGUGGCGAAGGCGGCUUACUGGACGAUAACUGACGCUGAUACGCGAAAGCGUGGGGAGCAAACAGG
rnacentral:rRNA from 2 species